CAGGGGCUAGGUGAGAGUAGGGGGUAGUGGUAGGGUGUAGUCAGGGGCUAGGUGAGAGUAGGGGGUAGCGGUAGGGUGUUGUCAGGGGCUAGGUGAGAGUAGGGGGUAGCGGUAGGGUGUUGUCAGGGGCUAGGUGAGAGUAGGGGGUAGCGGUAGGGUGUUGUCAGGGGCUAGGUGAGAGUAGGGGGUAGCGGUAGGGUGUAGUCAGGGGCUAGGUGAGAGUAGGGGGUAGCGGUAGGGUGUUGUCUGACUCCGCCAGAUCUAGCGAAGCAACUGAAAGCACCAAUCCAACAAGGUCACAUGAUCCUGCUAUAGAAACCAAAGCAGAACAAGUUGUCAAGUAACUUCGAACCAGAGCCAUACACCG
ensembl:lncRNA